UACGUAGGGGGCAAGCGUUGUCCGGAUUUAUUGGGCGUAAAGAGCGUGUAGGCGGCUUUACAGGUCCGUUGUGAAAACUCGAGGCUCAACCUCGAGACGCCGGUGGAAACCGUAAAGCUAGAGUCCGGAAGAGGAGAGUGGAACUGCGAGUGUAGAGGUGAAAUUCGUAGAUAUUCGCAAGAACACCAGUGGCGAAGGCGGCUCACUGGCCCGGUACUGACGCUGAGGUGCGAAAGCGUGGGGAGCAAACAGG
rnacentral:rRNA from 1 species